rnacentral:rRNA from 1 species
UGCGCAGGCGGUUUUGUAAGACAGAGGUGAAAUCCCCGAGCUUAACUUGGGAAUUGCAUUCGAUACUGGGAAGCUAGAGUAUGGGAGAGGAUGGUAGAAUUCCAGGUGUAGCGGUGAAAUGCGUAGAGAUCUGGAGGAAUACCGAUGGCGAAGGCAGCCAUCUGGCCUAAUACUGACGCUGAGGUACGAAAGCAUGGGGAGCAAACAGGAUUAGAUACCCGGGUA